GGAGUUUUUUGGCCUUUUGGCCCAAAAACAAAAUGUAGUAUUGUUCUUAUUUAGCCCUUAAAAACUGUAGUCCCCCUUGGGGAAAAUUUGAAAUUUUAAAAAAAUUUUUGGGCCAGGGGAGAUGUAGGGGGUUGCUCCCCUUUUUCCCCGGGUUGGGGUGGUAUUGCAGUACCCCCAGGGUGGCCCAAUUCCC